GAUGAACGCUGGCGGCGUGCCUAAUACAUGCAAGUCGAGCGAACGGACGAGAAGCUUGCUUCUCUGAUGUUGGCGGCGGACGGGUGAGUAACACGUGGAUAACCUACCUAUAAGACUGGGAUAACUUCGGGAAACCGGAGCUAAUACCGGAUAAUAUUUUGAACCGCAUGGUUCAAAAGUGAAAGACGGUCUUGCUGUCACUUAUAGAUGGAUCCGCGCUGCAUUAGCUAGUUGGUAAGGUAACGGCUUACCAAGGCAACGAUGCAUUGCCGACCUGAGAGGGUGAUCGGCCACACUGGAACUGAGACACGGUCCAGACUCCUACGGGAGGCAGCAGUAGGGAAUCUUCCGCAAUGGGCGAAAGCCUGACGGAGCAACGCCGCGUGAGUGAUGAAGGUCUUCGGAUCGUAAAACUCUGUUAUUAGGGAAGAACAUAUGUGUAAGUAACUGUGCACAUCUUGACGGUACCUAAUCAGAAAGCCACGGCUAACUACGUG
rnacentral:rRNA from 1 species